UACGAAGGACCCGAGCGUUAUCCGGAUUUAUUGGGUUUAAAGGGUGCGUAGGCGGACUAGUAAGUCAGUGGUGAAAGCCCAUCGCUUAACGGUGGAACUGCCAUUGAUACUGCUAGUCUUGAGUAUGGUUGAGGUGGGCGGAAUGUGUCAUGUAGCGGUGAAAUGCUUAGAUAUGCGGAGGAACACCGAUGGCGAAGGCAAUCCCCUGGGCCUGCACUGACGCUCAUGCACGAAAGCGUGGGGAGCAAACAGG
rnacentral:rRNA from 1 species